GGUGGAGCAUGUGGUUUAAUUNGAAGNUACGNGAAGAACCUUACCAGGUCUUGACAUACUAUGCAAAUNUAAGAGAUUAGACGUUCCCUUCGGGGACAUGGAUACAGGUGGUGCAUGGUUGUNGUCAGCUCGUGUCGUGAGAUGUUGGGUUAAGUCCCGCAACGAGCGCAACCCUUAUUAUCAGUUGCCAGCAUUAAGUUGGGCACUCUGGUGAGACUGCCGGUGACAAACCGGAGGAAGGUGGGGAUGACGUCAAAUCAUCAUGCCCCUUAUGACCUGGGCUACACACGUGCUACAAUGGAUGGUACAACGAGUUGCGAACUCGCGAGAGUAAGCUAAUCUCUUAAAGCCAUUCUCAGUUCGGAUUGUAGGCUGCAACUCGCCUACAUGAAGUCGGAAUCGCUAGUAAUCGCGGAUCAGCAUGCCGCGGUGAAUACGUUCCCGGGCCUUGUACACACCGCCCGUCACACCAUGAGAGUUUGUAACACCCAAAGUCGGUGGGGUAACCUUUUAGGAACCCAGCCGC
rnacentral:rRNA from 2 species